rnacentral:rRNA from 1 species
GACGAACGCUGGCGGCGUGCUUAACACAUGCAAGUCGAACGGAAAGGCCCUGCUUUUGUGGGGUGCUCGAGUGGCGAACGGGUGAGUAACACGUGAGUAACCUGCCCUUGACUUUGGGAUAACUUCAGGAAACUGGGGCUAAUACCGGAUAGGAGCUUCUGCCGCAUGGUGGGGGUUGGAAAGUUUCGGCGGUUGGGGAUGGACUCGCGGCUUAUCAGCUUGUUGGUGGGGUAGUGGCUUACCAAGGCUUUGACGGGUAGCCGGCCUGAGAGGGUGACCGGCCACAUGGGGACUGAGAUACGGCCCAGACUCCUACGGGAGGCAGCAGUGGGGAAUAUUGCACAAUGGGCGGAAGCCUGAUGCAGCAACGCCGCGUGCGGGAUGACGGCCUUCGGGUUGUAAACCGCUUUCGCCUGUGACGAAGCGUGAGUGACGGUAAUGGGUAAAGAAGCACCGGCUAACUACGUG